rnacentral:sRNA from 1 species
ACCACGAUGAUGUCGGCCAUUACGGCUUU